UUGCUUUUGCAUCACAUAUAUGGAAAUUGGAAUGAUACAGAGGUUAGCAUGGACUCGGUACAAGGAUGACAUGCAAAUUUGUGAACUGUUCCAUAUUUUC
ensembl:snRNA U6 U6 spliceosomal RNA